AAAAGGUGCUAUUCCUUCUCUCAGAUAUGUCAAUCCAAGCCCGGCCUUCACCCAUUGUCUGUAUUUUGUCUUCUCUAAAUGACGCUGAUGUGCCAUUACGUUCACAGUUUAAUCGAAAAAAUCUGUGUUAUUUUCUUAUUCCUGGGCUCAUUUCAGCCAUUUUAUAACAAAUCUACAACAUUAAUGCGUUGAUACUUCAAUGCGCAUGUCGAUAUUAUAUGCCGCUCUCUAAGCGAUUUCCAAUUAAUUUCUACCGAAUAAUGAAACAAUAAACGUUAUAACGUUUUUUAGGAAUUUAAUGUAAUGUAAUAAAUUUUUUCUAUAGAUUCAUU
rnacentral:lncRNA from 1 species